CCUCCGACCAAUGGGAAGUUAAGAGGGCGGGGCCAUCUCUGUAUAUAUAGGACCGAAGCUGCAACCUCCUUCAGCUCAGAGUUGAGAACUACCUCCAGAUUGGGAAAGAACCUCAGCGCUGACAACCGCCAUCAUGAAAGUCUUGGCCCUCGUCGUCCUCGUCAUCGCCAUCAGUGGCCUGGAAGCCGGUGUCGUGAAGAGAGAUGCACCGGAUCAAUUUCAGCAAAUAACUGAGCUUUUCCAAGGCUUUUCCAAGACCCUCCAGGAGAAGUUCGCCAACGCAGAGAUCCCGGCUCAGACUCAGGAACUGGGCGCCAAGAUCCAGGAACACGGAGCAAAUUUAUCCGCCGGCAUCCAGAAAUGGAUUGAAGAGAUGAUUGCCCUCAGCAAACAAAAACUGAGCUAAGCUGCACCCCAUUUUCCUGCGAUCUGCGGCACUGCGCUCCCCCCGAACCCCAUCUCUACCACACCCCUUCAUCUAUUGUUACUGUGUGACUGACUGUUCCUUUUAUAACAUGUUAUAAUAAAACUUGUAUUCUGUGCCAAC